GCCGGGCACGGUGGCUUGUGCCUGUAAUCCAAGCGCCGGGGAGGCUGAGGCUGGCGGACGGCUUGAGCCCGGGGGUUCUGGGCUGCAGCGAGCUGUGCCGAGCGGGCGUCCGCGCUAAGGCCGGCAUCGAUAUGGUGGUCCUGGGGGAGCUGGGGGCCACCAGGUCGCCUAAGGAGGGGUGAACCGGCCCAGGUCGGAGACGGAGCAGGUCAAAGCUCCCGUGCCGGUCAGUAGUGGGAUGGCGCCUGUGAACAGUCCCUGUGGCACAGCCCGGGCGAGAGAGCGGGACCCAGCCUCUU
ensembl:misc_RNA Metazoa_SRP Metazoan signal recognition particle RNA